CCAUUAGCCCAUGCUCAUCUCCAAUUCUCCAUGCUCAAGUUUUAGAUUCCCACACGUCCACAAAAUGGCAGCCAUUAAAGUCGGCAAAUUAUACGCAUUUCUAUACACUUACGCCGUUUAUUUGAGCCCUGUUUUUCGUCUUCCUCAACUUGGAUUGCAAUCCCCGGUUCUCGCUCCUUCAUAAAGUCGGCAACUUUCCUUUCUUGGGCUUCUAGUAGCCACAGCUUCUUCAAGGUUUUGUUCUUAGCCGAAUAGCAUUUGUUGUAAUUAUUAUUUGCGAAUGCUGACUGCUAGUGUUACUGCCCCCUUGCCGUGUUCACUAUCUAACGGACAUCGUUUGGAGCCCCAAAUUUGCAGUGGCUGUUGUGUUGCGUUUCGAAUUCCUACACGAAUUCGGCCGAGAGGACUCAGUUUGCGGUCACAACCUAUCGUUGGAAGACGUAGAAAGCAAUGCUUAUCCAUUAAUGCAACUUGCAGUGCUUCAGGGCAAACUCAAACCGUGAUUCGGGAAGCACCAACGAUCACCCAAGCUCCUGUUCACUGUAAUAACAAACACAUCCUUUCAAUAAUUUGCCAAAUGUGUUAGAUGUAUUCCUUUGUGAUUUUCUAGCGACUUUUGUCCCACCUCAAGUUUGAUUGUGGUUAGGAAGGUUACAGUGGGCUAAGUGAUCUUUUCUCUAGUACUUGAAGGGAUAAUGAUAGCAUGCAUCGCCUCAUACACGUUUUAGAAUUUAGCCAUGUUGUUUUGAUGCCCGCACUUUCAUGCACCAUCAGCUUCGGUAGGUGACUGUAUGGAAGAAUCCAUAUGCUGGAGUCGUUUGCUUGAAGCAUCGACAAUGUUCAUUUUUCUGUUUCUAGUUUCUCUACUGCUUUCCUUUUAGCGAAAAUCUUACUAGUGUUAUAACGUAUAUACUUCAUGGUGUCUUUCGCCAUCCUGGAUUUCACCAUGAUCUGCUACCGAUUUUUAUAUUACUUUCUUGCUAAAAAGAUAAAGAAGCGAAGAAGAUUAUCGUGGCAGUCGAAGAAGAUGAGACAGGCUGCUAAAUUGAAAACAUUUCUGGAACCUAUUGCAUAUUGCUCUUCAUAGUUAUGAUACUGUAUUAUUUUGACAAUGAAUUACCUGUUGCCCUCCCUUCUUAAAUUUCCAUGAGCUACCUAACAUCCUUAGCAUGAAUUCGACACAACUAGAAGCUAUGUUACUUGGAUUCGGGUAUGAUUGUCGGAUUUCGGUGUCUCCUACAACGUUUAGGUGAGGUUCGACACUAACGAACGCUAAGGUCGAACCAAUCCACCCACAUUGGCUUGGCUUGAUCAAAGGUUUUGCUUGUAAGCAAAUCAAGGUGAGAGAAUCAAUGGUUUGGCUUGGCUUGUCAAAGGUUUCUAACGUCCUGGUCUCUCAUGUCGUUUGUUGGGUGUCUUGUUUGUUUGUAUAUUAGAUCAUGAUGUUUUGUCGUCGACAACCUCAAAUGCAAUAAUGUUUU